CCUACGGGGGGCAGCAGUGGGGAAUUUUGGACAAUGGGGGCAACCCUGAUCCAGCCAUGCCGCGUGCGGGAAGAAGGCCUUCGGGUUGUAAACCGCUUUUAGCCGGGAAGAAAAGGCAAGGGAUAACACCCCUUGUUCUUGACGGUACCGGCGGAAUAAGCACCGGCUAACUACGUGCCAGCAGCCGCGGUAAUACGUAGGGUGCGAGCGUUAAUCGGAAUUACUGGGCGUAAAGCGUGCGCAGGCGGUUAAGCCCCGGGCUCAACCUGGGAAUGGCAAUGGAAACUGGCGGACUGGAGUGCGGCAGAGGGGGGUGGAAUUCCGCGUGUAGCAGUGAAAUGCGUAGAGAUGCGGAGGAACACCGAUGGCGAAGGCAGCCCCCUGGGCCGACACUGACGCUCAGGCACGAAAGCGUGGGGAGCAAACAGGAUUAGAUACCCCAGUAGUC
rnacentral:rRNA from 1 species